ensembl:lncRNA
CUAAAAUAUUGACAUAAGCUGCUUUCACAAACUUGUAUUCCCCAGGGGCAAUAAUCAGGCCUCAUUUGCUGCUUUUCUGUCAUCUUGUGCAGGGUUAUACUCAUAUCUCUGAAACUGUUUUUUGUCUCUGCAAAAUAAAUGAGUGAUGCUACACUAGGUCUCUCCAAAAAGCUUCCCUUAGUGAAGCUUUCUCCUAUGAAGCUAGAACCUUCUGAUACAGCCUAAUUUGGAAGGCGAGGACACUAAAUUGUUCCAUUAAUGUGGAGCUGUCAUUGGAGUAAUGGUGACAGUCUUUAGUUUCUGGGGGAGUUUAUUCCAUGCUGACCCCUGUGCAGGUAUCUCUGAAAGAGAACUUGCUGGAAAGGAAUGGUCUAAUGUAGAUCAGUUAUAUUGUUCCAUACACCAUACUGGGACAGUUUCAGAAGUGAUCUUGCCAAUCAACUAGGUCUAUGGUGAAAAUAUGCCUGAAAUAGUACUAGAAGAGCUACUGAUGAUAGACCACAAGGAAGCCGACAGUCUUCCAGAUGAGAGAACAGAAGGUGCUCUCUUAAUAAGUGAGCACUUGGGUACAGGCACUUCAAAGCUCUGGCAAACUCAGAUUACCGGUAGUCCUUUACCUGUGCCAGCCCACCCUCCUCCUCCUUCAAAUUCUGCUUAACAGAGUCUGAGAAAGCAAGACUUGAAAGGCUGGAGUCAAAAAAGAGAGUCAAUGCAUAAAUGGAAAUUAGUAGUUGUUCAAUAAUCUAACUGCCCUUAGAACAUUUCCUGGAAAGAUGCUGAGCUUCCUAAUAAGGACUCUGGAAAUGAUAAUGAUGUAGACAUAAGCAGGAAAAAGAACACCUAAGGUAAUACUGAAAAGAAAAGUUUAAGAACACAAGCUCGGCAUGAUGUUUUUCACAUGUAUUUUACAGACUUCAACAGAGUAGGGUUUUCAUUUGUUUUACAAAAAUAAGACUUGAGUUGAUGGAAUUGUGAUUGAUUUGAAUGAGUAUUUACCUCAAAAGCUGAAGCCCUAAAAAGAACAAUAGCAAAAAAAUAUAUUUCUCAUUAUAGAAAAAUCACAAAAAAUAAUUUGGUACUAAAUGGAAAACUGUUAUAGCUUAUUAAGAAUUAUAAAAACUUAACUUUCCUGCUUUAGGUCAUAAAUCAGAACUAUUUUUCUGAUGUCUGAUUUAGGUUUUCUAUUAUGCAACUGAGGGGUCUGAUUUGCAAAAGUCAGGUUUUUGGGUUUUUUUUUUUUUGAGCAACUACUGUGCUCUGUUUCAAAAUGAAGCCUGUAGAGAUUAGUGGAAGCUGAACGUAGAAAACACGGUAAAAGGAAUAAUAACUGUCCUUCUUUCUUCAAGAAGGUAAAUAUUAAAGGUAAUAAACAAUUCUAGGAAGUUCUCAUUUCUUCCACUAUACUGAAAUUGCAUUUUCCAUAUUGCUUAGAGUGGUAAGUUUGUUUAUUUUUGAAAUACUUAUUUGAGAGGAAAAACAAAACUAAGAAUCCAAUUUCUAAUGUUGUCCGUCUAUCAGAAUCAGGAUCAAGUAAUUGAUGAUCAUGAUGCACUUCAAUUUUCAAUAAAGCACAGAACUAGGUCACUAAGGUACAGGGUGAGAAGAAUUUUAGACAUAAUAAAGACAAGAAUUAUUACUUUCAUAAAAGAAGAGCUUCACAAGCAAUAAGAUUGGUGACAAAAAAUAAUACUAAUCGAUGUGUUGUAUCCAAAAAGGUCCAAUAAUGAAUUUCGGUUACAUUUACAACAUUCCUCAUUUGUUGUUCAGCAUGAACUACAGCUUAUGAACCUACUGAUUCAACAGAAAUAAUCAAGUGUCUUCAAGAAAACAAGAUGAAUGGUGUCCUGGGGUUUCAUGAAACUUCACUGAUGCAACAUGCAUACUUAUUUUCUGACAGUUGGUUCACAUUGUUGCUGAUUUUCAAAUACUUUCUCAUAUUAUAAAGGCUAAUUAUAGUGGAAUUAAUAUGCUUCCCAUUACUUAGAGAUACUACAGAGGGGAGUUUAUCACAAAUACUUCUCCAUUCUUACAUGUUUUGUAAAUGGUACCCUUAGAACUCUAAUGCACUGUGUUUACCUCAACUGCAAGUGGCUGUUAAAUUCAUAUACCUUUAGAUUUACACCUAUUAAAAAACCCUUUAUCAGACAUUUGAUAUGUAAAUGAGUAAAAAUUUGCUUACUAGUUCUUGCCUGUGCAGAAUAUACCCUUCGUAGCAGUUUGUUUUCUUUUUUCAGUAUGACUAUCAAAUCCUAAUCAUACUAAAGUCUGUAGCAAAAUGUCUGUAACGUCAUCAGCAUUGGAAUGCUGCACUUAAUCUAAGUAGCAUGUGGGUCAGCUACUUAUGAGAAAUGUGCUACUCAUGGGUAAGAAGUGGCUCACUUAACCCUGGUGCUCCACACAGGUAUGAUAUGUAACUUAUUUGUGAUGUGUUUAUGUGAACUUUGAAUGAUAUUGUAGCUGUAUAAAAAUAAGCAGCCUUAACAUGGAUAUAUACUAUCGAAAAGUCAAUAGAGCUUUCACGAAUAUCAUAUGAGGUGAGUCACAGAACUAAUGAGCUGUGGUAUUAAGCUGAGGCAUUUAUGAAACCAUGAUUUAGUGAUUGCUUUAUAUUUCUACUUCAUUCCUUUGGGUAAAGAAUACUUUUCCCUGCCCCCCCAACACUAGAAUGUCUAUGUAAAGAACUUAUGUCAAAAUGAAUCAUCUCCUAAACUAUCUGUAAGUCAUCUCAAGUUUCAAAAACGUAUUGAGAGCUGUAAAAGAUCCAGUGCGAUGUCUUUGUGGUAAUGGGAUCAAGAGACAAUAUUAAGCGCAUCACAAUACUGUAAUG